rnacentral:rRNA from 1 species
UAUUAAUAAAAUUGUUUUAUUGAUUUUUUUUGUUUGUUAUUUUAAAUUAAGUAAAUUUGAGUUAUUGUAGAAUGAAUUGAUUGAAUUAUUUUUACUAUAGUAAAUUAGUACUGUAAAGGAAGAAUCAUGUAAGUUUUAUAAUCAAUAAAAGGUAAUUUUAUUUAUUGUAUCUUGUGUAUCAGAGUGUAUUUAAAUGGAUUAUAAAAUUUUUUUCUCUCGAAUUUAAAAGAUUUAAUUAAAAAUAUUAGUUAUUGUUGCAUAGAUAUUAAUAAUUUUUAAUUGGUAAUGAAACGUUAUUCGUUUUUAAGGAUAUCUAGUUUUUUAAUAAAUGAAUUUAAUUCAGAAAAUAUAAUUUAUUAAAUAAUUGAUUAUUUAAAUAUUUUAUGUUUUUAAUUUUAAAAGGGAUAAACUUUUUAAAAUAUAAUUAUAAUAUUGUGAGUUAAAGGAGGAUUUUAUGAAUUUAGAAUUUGUUAGUGAUUAAAGAAUGUUAAAAUUUAAUUCUUUAUUUAGGUGAUUUAUGAACUUUUAUUUAAUUUUUAUAUUAAAAUGUUAAGUUUAAUUGAGAAAUUUUAGAAAAUAUGAUUUAAUUAGUAAAAUUUUGAUUUAUUUUGUUAAAUUGGUUGAUAUGUUAGUAUGAAGAAUUAGGCAAAACUUUUGCUCACCUGUUUAUUAAAAACAUGGUUUCUUGUAUUUUAUUUAAGAAAUUUGACCUGCCCGCUGAAUAAAAUUUUGAAGGGCCGCAGUAUAUUGACUGUGCAAAGGUAGCAUAAUCAUUAGUCUUUUAAUUGAAGGCUGGUAUGAAUGGUUGGAUGAGGUAAAUUCUGUUUUAUGUUAAUUUGUGUUGAAUUUAGAUUUUAAGUAAAAAGACUUAGAUGAUAUUAAGGGACGAGAAGACCCUAUAGAGUUUAAUAAAUGUAUUAAUUAGUUGAGUUAUGAAUGUAAUUUUUUAUUAUUAUAAAAUUUAUUUAAUUGGGGUGAUUGAAAGAUAAAUGUAACUCUUUUUUAUAUUUAAUAUUUUGAUUAGUUAUUUGAUCCAUAUUUAAUGAUUAAAAGAUUAAAUUACCUUAGGGAUAACAGCAUAAUUCUUUUUGAGAGUUCUUAUCGAGAAGGGAGAUUGUGACCUCGAUGUUGGAUUAAGAUUAGUUUUGGGUGUAGAUGUUCAAGAACUAGGUCUGUUCGACCUUAGAAAUCUUACAUGAUCUGAGUUUAAACCGGUGUGAGCCAGGUUGGUUUCUAUCUUUAAUUAAUUUAGAUAUUUUAGUACGAGAGGACCAAAUAUUUAAAAUAAUUUUUAUUUUUAUGGAAUACUGUUAAUUAA